CUCAGGUGUUGGAAGGAGAGGCACCACAAUAGGAAUACAAAUAAAUCAAGAAGAGGAACUGCCCCUUGCUGCAUCCAGCCCCUGCCCCCCACUGCUCUCCAUCACUGCUGGUGUCAAGCAGUUAAUUUACAAGCCCAGCACUUUACAAAGCCCCUGGAGCACAAACUGUCCCUUUCUCACGCAACAUCAGCUCCCCAGAAGAGCCAGCUGAGUCUCUGGGUCACCCUUCUCCUGCCUUUCCCAAGGCAACUUCAGCCCUACUCCAAAACUACCCGAGUAUUUAUCUGGGGACAAGUCAGAUCCCUUGCAGCAGAAUGCCAAAGGCUUUGGAAUAAGCCCAGGGUGCAAAGCACCUCUGCUCUAUGCCCUGUGCCUGCUUGGGGAUGCAACAUUCAAUAGGCAAAAAAUGAUGAAAACCCCACAAGUGGCUGCAGCAAGGCCAGCAGCAUCCAAAGUACCGUGCCAGAGCUGGGCAGCGAUAGGGCAGCGCAGGACAAACCAAACAGCACUGGGGAAAGAAACCAGCUUGUGGAUCAGAAAGCUAAAGGCGGUGUAACUCUCACAUGGCUUUUUUUAUUUCCUCCCUCCCACCACCUCCCUCCCCUCCUCCAGUCUGUUGCACCGGAGCUGUCGGCCAUGCUGUUCCAGUUCAGGGGCUCCUGCAACAGAAAAGAUCAGCUGUUGGAGAACCCAUGGAAAGCCCUGGGGGAGAGCCAUGGCCGCAAGAUCAAGAGCAGCAUUACCCAAACUGCUGCCUGGUUCCUGCACAUCCUUAUAUGCGGAGGGUAUCUCUGAGCCCACCCUGCAGCAUUCAGGAGGCUCCCUAUGCUCUCUUAUGAACAUACCUGCUUGUGUCACUGCAUGAGCUGGUAUCAAUACAUUAAACAGCCACGCUGGAAAAGUGAAAUUGAUUCAAGGCCUUCAGUGCUCCCUGCCAAAAAAAGCCUCCUGAAAGGAUCUAUUCUGUAUUGAAUUACAGUCUGGAAAAGUUCAAUAGGUUAUUGUACAAACAGAGAGCAAAAGCUCGUCAACAACAGAGCAAGAGUGAUUGUGAGGCUCCUUUGUGCUUGCCAGCCCUGAGCCCCUCACAAACUCGGAU
rnacentral:lncRNA from 1 species